rnacentral:rRNA from 1 species
UAUCGGAUUGAUACUAAGCCAUGCGAGCCUUUGUAGUAAUACAAGGCAUACGGCUCAGUAACGCGUAGUCAACCUACCCUAUGGACAAGAAUAAUCUCGGGAAACUGAGCAUAAUUCUUGAUAGAUCAUAAUGCCUGGAAUGGUUUAUGGUUAAAAUGAUUCGUCGCCAUAGGAUGGGACUGCGGCCUAUCAGCUUGUUGGUGAGGUAAUGGCCCACCAAGGCGAUUACAGGUACGGGCUCUGAGAGGAGAAGCCCGGAGAUGGGUACUGAGACAAGGACCCAGGCCCUAUGGGGCGCAGCAGGCGAGAAAACUUUGCAAUGUGCGAAAGCACGACAAGGUUAGUCCGAGUGAUUUCUGCUAAAGAGAUCUUUUGCUAGUUACAAAACCACUAGUGAAUAAGGGGUGGGCAAGUACUGG